rnacentral:rRNA from 1 species
AAACCAGCACCUCAAGUGGUCAGGAGGAUUAUUGGGCCUAAAGCAUCCGUAGCCUGAUCUAUAAGUUUCCGGUUAAAUCCAAAUGCUCAACAUUUGGGCUGCCGGAAAAACUGUAGAUCUAGGGAGUGGGAGAGGUAGACGGUACUCGGUAGGAAGGGGUAAAAUCCUUUGAUCUAUUGAUGACCACCAGUGGCGAAGGCGGUCUACCAGAACACGUUCGACGGUGAGGGAUGAAAGCUGGGGGAGCAAACCGGAUUAGAAACCCCAGUAGUCC